GACGGGGGCCCGCACAAGUAGCGGAGCAUGUGGUUUAAUUCGAAGCAACGCGAAGAACCUUACCUAGACUUGACAUCUCCUGAAUUACCAUGUAAUGUGGGAAGUCCCUUCGGGGACAGGAAGACAGGUGGUGCAUGGUUGUCGUCAGCUCGUGUCGUGAGAUGUUGGGUUAAGUCCCGCAACGAGCGCAACCCUUGUCUUUAGUUGCCAUCAUUAAGUUGGGCACUCUAGAGAGACUGCCAGGGAUAACCUGGAGGAAGGUGGGGAUGACGUCAAAUCAUCAUGCCCCUUAUGCUUAGGGCUACACACGUGCUACAAUGGGUAGUACAGAGGGUUGCCAAGCCGUAAGGUGGAGCUAAUCCCUUAAAGCUACUCUCAGUUCGGAUUGUAGGCUGAAACUCGCCUACAUGAAGCUGGAGUUACUAGUAAUCGCAGAUCAGAAUGCUGCGGUGAAUGCGUUCCCGGGUCUUGUACACACCGCCCGUCACACCACGGGAGUUGGAGACGCCCGAAGCCGAUUAUCUAACCUUUUGGAAGAAGUCGUCGAAGGUGGAAUCAAUAACUGGGGUGAAGUCGUAACAAGGUAGCCGUAUCGGAAGGUGCGGCUG
rnacentral:rRNA from 1 species